rnacentral:piRNA from 1 species
UAGCCUAUGGGAUUCUUGCUCAGGUAGA